rnacentral:rRNA from 1 species
UGGGGAAUAUUGCACAAUGGGCGCAAGCCUGAUGCAGCCAUGCCGCGUGUGUGAAGAAGGCCUUCGGGUUGUAAAGCACUUUCAGCGGGGAGGAAGGCGGUGAGGUUAAUAACCUCAUCGAUUGACGUUACCCGCAGAAGAAGCACCGGCUAACUCCGUGCCAGCAGCCGCGGUAAUACGGAGGGUGCAAGCGUUAAUCGGAAUUACUGGGCGUAAAGCGCACGCAGGCGGUCUGUCAAGUCGGAUGUGAAAUCCCCGGGCUCAACCUGGGAACUGCAUUCGAAACUGGCAGGCUAGAGUCUUGUAGAGGGGGGUAGAAUUCCAGGUGUAGCGGUGAAAUGCGUAGAGAUCUGGAGGAAUACCGGUGGCGAAGGUGGCCCCCUGGACGAAGACUGACGCUCAGGUGCGAAAGCGUGGGGAGCAAACAGG